rnacentral:tRNA from 2 species
UGCGGUGUAGCUCAGCGGUAGAGCAAGCCCCCGAUAAGGGUCAGGUCGGCAGUUCGAAUCUGUCCGCCGCAACCA